rnacentral:rRNA from 1 species
GACGAACGCUGGCGGCGCGCUUAACACAUGCAAGUCGAGCGAGAACCGGGGCUUCGGCCCCGGGGACAGCGGCGAACGGGUGAGUAACACGUGGGUAAUCUGCCCUCGGCACCGGAAUAGCCCGGGGAAACCCGGAUUAAUGCCGGAUGGCCCGUCCACCCCACGAGGUGGUCGGAAAAGGUAGCUUCGGCCCCGGCCGAGGAUGAGCCCGCGGCGGAUUAGCUUGUUGGUGGGGUAACGGCCCACCAAGGCGACGAUCCGUAGCUGGUCUGGGAGGACGAUCAGCCACACUGGGACUGAGACACGGCCCAGACUCCUACGGGAGGCAGCAGUGGGGAAUCUUGCCCAAUGGGCGCAAGCCUGAGGCAGCGACGCCGCGUGAGGGAAGAAGGCCUUCGGGUUGUAAACCUCUUUCAGGAGGGACGAAGCCACUCGGGUUAAUAGCCCAGAGGGUGACGGUACCUCCAGAAGAAGCCCUGGCUAACUACGUGCCAGCCGCCGCCGUAACAC